rnacentral:rRNA from 1 species
AUUGAACGCUGGCGGCAUGCCUUACACAUGCAAGUCGAACGGUAACAGGUCCUUCGGAUGCUGACGAGUGGCGAACGGGUGAGUAAUACAUCGGAACGUGCCCGAGAGUGGGGGGAUAACGAGGCGAAAGCUUUGCUAAUACCGCAUACGAUCUCAGGAUGAAAGCAGGGGACCGCAAGGCCUUGCGCUCACGGAGCGGCCGAUGGCAGAUUAGGUAGUUGGUGGGAUAAAAGCUUACCAAGCCGACGAUCUGUAGCUGGUCUGAGAGGACGACCAGCCACACUGGGACUGAGACACGGCCCAGACUCCUACGGGAGGCAGCAGUGGGGAAUUUUGGACAAUGGGCGCAAGCCUGAUCCAGCAAUGCCGCGUGCAGGAUGAAGGCCU